CCCAGACUCCUACGGGAGGCAGCAGUGAGGAAUAUUGGUCAAUGGCCGAGAGGCUGAACCAGCCAAGUCGCGUGAGGGAAGACGGCCCUACGGGUUGUAAACCUCUUUUGUCGGGGAGCAAAGCGAACCACGUGUGGUUCAUUGAGAGUACCCGAAGAAAAAGCAUCGGCUAACUCCGUGCCAGCAGCCGCGGUAAUACGGAGGAUGCGAGCGUUAUCCGGAUUUAUUGGGUUUAAAGGGUGCGCAGGCGGAGGUGCAAGUCAGCGGUCAAAUUGCGGGGCUCAACCCCGUACUGCCGUUGAAACUGCAUCCCUUGAGUGCGCGAGAAGUAUGCGGAAUGCGUGGUGUAGCGGUGAAAUGCAUAGAUAUCACGCAGAACUCCGAUUGCGAAGGCAGCAUACCGGCGCGCAACUGACGCUCAUGCACGAAAGCGGGGGUAUCGAACAGGAUUAGAUACCCGGUA
rnacentral:rRNA from 1 species